UUUGAUCAGAAGCGAGAAUGUUGACAUGAGUAGCGAUAAAGAGGGUGAGAGACCCUCUCGCCGAAAGUCCAAGGGUUCCUGCUUAAAGCUAAUCUGAGCAGGGUAAGCCGACCCCUAAGGCGAGGCCGAAAGGCGUAGUCGAUGGGAACCAGGUUAAUAUUCCUGGGCCAUGUGGUGGUGACGGAUCUUUAGUGUAGUUCGACCUUAUCGGAUUGGUCGGGCUGCUGCGAGGUCCCUGGAAAUAGCCCCACUUUAAGAUCGUACCCGAAACCGACACAGGUGGACUGGUAGAGUAUACCAAGGCGCUUGAGAGAACCACGUUUAAGGAACUCGGCAAAAUGCCUCCGUAAGUUCGCGAGAAGGAGGCCCCAUUGGUACGCAAGUAUCGGUGGGGGGCACAAACUAGGGGGUGGCGACUGUUUACUUAAAACACAGGGCUGUGCGAAGCCGUAAGGCGACGUAUACAGUCUGACGCCUGCCCGGUGCUGGAAGGUUAAAAGGAGGGGUGCAAGCUCCGAAUUGAAGCCCCAGUAAACGGCGGCCGUAACUAUAACGGUCCUAAGGUAGCGAAAUUCCUUGUCGGGUAAGUUCCGACCUGCACGAAUGGCGUAACGAUCUCCCCGCUGUCUCAAACGUGGACUCAGCGAAAUUGAACUGUGUGUCAAGAUGCACACUACCCGCGGUUAGACGGAAAGACCCCAUGAACCUUUACUCUAGCUUUGCACUGGCAUCAGGAUUGUGAUGUGCAGGAUAGGUGGUGGGCUUUGAAGCGGUGACGCCAGUUGCCGUGGAGCCUCCCUUGAGAUACCACCCUUCGCACUCUUGAUGUCUAACCGCGGCCCGUUAUCCGGGUCCGGGACCCUGCAUGGUGGGGAGUUUGACUGGGGCGGUCGCCUCCCAAAUCGUAACGGAGGCGCGCGAAGGUUGGCUCAGACCGGUCGGAAAUCGGUCGUUGAGUGCAAUGGCAGAAGCCAGCCUGACUGCAAGUCUGACAAGACGAGCAGAGACGAAAGUCGGCCAUAGUGAUCCGGUGGUCCCAAGUGGGAGGGCCAUCGCUCAACGGAUAAAAGGUACUCUGGGGAUAACAGGCUGAUGAUGCCCAAGAGUCCAUAUCGACGGCAUCGUUUGGCACCUCGAUGUCGGCUCAUCUCAUCCUGGGGCUGGAGCAGGUCCCAAGGGUAUGGCUGUUCGCCAUUUAAAGAGGUACGUGAGCUGGGUUUAGAACGUCGUGAGACAGUUCGGUCCCUAUCUGCCGUGGGUGUAGGAUACUUGAUGGGAGUUGCCCCUAGUACGAGAGGACCGGGGUGAACGAUCCACUGGUGGACCAGUUAUCGUGCCAACGGUAGUGCUGGGUAGCUAUGAUCGGACAGGAUAAACGCUGAAGGCAUCUAAGCGUGAAGCCCCCCCAGAAACUAGGUAUCCCUUGAGGGCCGUGGAAGACGACCACGUCGAUAGGCCGGAGAUGUAAGCGCGGUAACGCGUUCAGUUGAC
rnacentral:rRNA from 1 species